AGAAUCAACGCUGGCGGCGUGCCUAACACAUGCAAGUCGAACGAGAAAGUGGAGCAAUCCAUGAGUAAAGUGGCGACCGGGUGAGUAACACGUGACUAACCUACCUUCGAGUGGGGGAUAACCUCGGGAAAACCGAGGCUAAUACCGCAUAACAUCGCAAGAUCAAAGCAGCAAUGCGCUGGAAGAGGGGGUCGCGGCUGAUUAGCUAGUUGGCGGGUAACGCCCACCAAGGCGAAGAUCGGUA
rnacentral:rRNA from 1 species